rnacentral:rRNA from 1 species
CAGCAGCCGCGGUAAUACGAAGGGGGCUAGCGUUGCUCGGAAUUACUGGGCGUAAAGGGCGCGUAGGCGGCGCUCCAAGUUAGGCGUGAAAUUCCCGGGCUCAACCUGGGGACUGCGCUUAAGACUGGAGUGCUUGAGGAUGGAAGAGGGUUGUGGAAUUCCCAGUGUAGAGGUGAAAUUCGUAGAUAUUGGGAAGAACACCGGUGGCGAAGGCGGCAACCUGGUCCAUUACUGACGCUGAGGCGCGAUAGCGUGGGGAGCAAACAGGAUUAGAUACCCGAGUAGUCCCUGUCUCUUAUAC